rnacentral:lncRNA from 1 species
AUCUCAUAGGUGAGGAGAAGCUGCACUCGCACACCGAGAUCGUCUGCGGGACAACCCUGUGAGAUACUCCGGAGACUCGUGCUUCGGUGGAGCGACCACCGACAAGCAAAACAGACUAGUGAGUAUGAUCCAAUCCUCUCAAGAGGAUACCCUGUCUACUAGGGUCUAUGUGCCUCUGCUGCACAAUCAUGAUAUAUAAUCAAUGUUGGGACUUCUACUAUCCCUAGGUUCAUGUCAAGUUUACUACACUAGAUUCAAUGCCACUCGUUUAGUCAUUGUAGUAAAUGUCUCAAUUAUUCUACAUGCCACUCGUUCAUGUCAUAGUGCUUCUACCACACUAGUUCGAUGCCACUCUAUUAGGCUAUGUCCAAGUUCGGCUCUUUAUACCGCUAUAGGAUUCUAUGUCACAAGACCCAAUCCUCAUGCUAUCCUAGUGCACGUGUCAAGCUCACCUCGCUACACUACCAAGAAAGCAUGCAAGGAAAUGGAAAUGUACAACUACUAUUCCUAUAGCGCAAUAUGAUCAACAUAAUUAACUUAGAUAUAAAAAGAAACCCGAUUGCUUCGGGAUGACACCCCCCACCUCUUGAGGGUAUGGAGGCUCUAAAAAUGCCCUCCAACGGAUGUUACGAUGAAGUCUUGGUCUUCUUAGGUCGAAAUGAAGCUUGGUCGGCCUUGUUUUGCUGAUAUCUUUUCUUCCGCUCGACGAAUGCAAAAUCCGACUUCGCCCCCGCGUUUUGGCACCUACCAAUUAGGUUUACAAUGUCUUAAAUGAGAUCAAUCUCAUUCUUCGCCAAAAAUCCCAUUUUGGCGCCCUAGGGUUAGCACCAAGCUAAACCCAUCUCAAAACCCUAGAUUCUAGCUUUAAUCCCACCAUUCAUGGUGCUAGUGAUCCAUUUGAUCCUAUCCAAAUAGCUAAAACCCAAAAACCCUAAGUUCCAUAAGCUAGGGUUAGAAGCUUACCUCUAGGUUAGCUCCAAAGAGAGAAGAGAGGAAGAGGGAGAAGUCCAAAGCCUUUUUUUUCUUGAUCUCCUUCUUCUUCUCCUUUAUUUUUUUCCUUUUUUUUCUUCUCUUUUCUUCUUCUUCUUCUUCUUCUUUUUCUUCUUCUCUUCUAAAGAGAGAGAGAGCAAGAGAGUGUGAGAGAUAGAGAGAGAGAGUGAGGGUGGAAAUAAGAGAAUGAGAGAGUAAUCUCCCAUGUAUACCCCUCUAACUAAGGCCAUUUUGCUUAAAAGCCCCUCACCUUUCAUCUCUGCACACUGCCCUUACUGGGCCUUCUGCGCGCUGAGGGACCGGUCUCCCCGACUUGGGACCGGUCCCCGAGAGUCUCAGCUCGGGUCACGCGUUCGGGUACCGGUCCUUUCCUGAGAGAUCGGUCCCCGGGAGACCGGUCCUUGGCCGAGAGACCGGUUCCCGAGAGCUGGGAUUUCGGGACUUAGUCAAAUUUUGGCUUUCUCGCUGGGGUCACGUUCGGGGACCGGUCUCUCCCUGCCAGGGACCGGUUGCCUCAAAGAUCCCCGCAACCCCAGCCGAUGGGACCGGUCCCUCUCUGCCAGGGACCGGUCCCCAAGAGCAGUUUUGCUCCAGUGCAGAUUUUGCACUAAUUGCUCUCGUGGACUCAUUUCCAAUGCACUUUUGGUGAUUUUGACAUCUUUGGCUUUUCCAGAGCUCACCAAUACGACCUUUGGUCGAUUCUGGAUGAAGUCUAACUCUCGUAUUUCGAGAAUUCACUUUCUUACAUCCUCCCCCCCUAAAAAGGAGUUUCGUCCUCGAAACAAAUUCAACAACUCAUACCUCAUUACAUUUCCGUGAAAAGAUGAGGAUAAUGCACCUUCAUCGAUUCCUCGAGUUCCCACGUAGCCUCACGAUCGCCGUGAUUGGUCCAACGAAUCUUCACGUAGGGAAUCUCACGGUUUCUCAAUUUUCGCACUUCUCGAGCAAUAAUCAUCGCCGGAAACUCUUCAUAACUCAAAUCCUUUUGUAGAUCCGGCGGUUCGUAGUACAUAACAUGCUCGGGAUCGGGAAUAUACUUCCGAAGGUUGGAGACGUGGAACACAUUAUGCACGCCCGCGAGCUUCGGCGGUAAUGCAAGUUGGUAUGCUAUCGCUCCAAUACGUUCCAAUACUUCGAAUGGUCCAAUAUAUCAGGGACUUACCUUUCCCCGCACUCCGAAGCGUUUCACACCUCUCAUUGGCAAAACCUUUAGGAAAACGCGGUCACCUACCGCGAAUUCCAAAUCUCUACGGCAUUUGUCAGAAUAGCUCUUUUGCCUCGACUGUGCCGUAAGUAACCUCUCGCGAGCGAGACGGACCUUCUCUUCCACCUCUCGCAAUAUGUCCGGGCCCAAUGCCGCAGGUUCACCUGCAUCGCUUCAACAUAUAGGGGAUCGGCACUUCCGUCCAUAUAGGACCUCGAACAAUGCCAUCCCAAUGCUAGCUUGAUAACUGUUAUUGUAGGCGAACUCGGCCAUCCUCAAAUGGUUUGCCCAACUACCCUUGUAGUCAAUGACACACGCCCGCAACAUAUCCUCUAGAAUCUGUAUAGUCCUCUCUGGCUGUCCAUUUGUCUAAGGAUGAAACGCGAUGCUGAAAUCGAGCCGUGUGCCAAGUGCUUCUUGCAGGCUUUUCCAAAAGUGCGAAGUAAAACGGAGGUCUCGAUCUGACACGAUCGACUUCGGAACCCCGUGUAACCUCACAACUUCAUCCAAGUAUACCUGCGCCAACUUGUCCCCCGACCAGGUGGUGUGAAUCGGUAGGAAGUGUGCCGACUUGGUCAUACGAUCCACAAUCACCCAGAUCGCAUCGUGGCCACCCGUCGAACGGGGCAAUCCGACCAUGAAGUCCAUAGCGAUAUUCUCCUAUUUCCAGACGGGAAUGGGUAGACCUCGAAGCUUUCCCGCUGGAAAUAGGCGCUCAGCUUUCACUUGCUGGCAUACAAGGCACUGCGCUACAUAGCGCCCAAUGUCUGCUUUCAUGCCCGGCCACCAGUACUGCAUCUUCAGAUCGCGGUACAUCUUGGUGCCACCCGGGUGAAUACUAUAAGGAGUCUGAUAUGCCUCUUGCAAUAUUAACCUCCGGACCUCCUUGUUCUCCGGUACGCACCAUCGGUUUCAAAACCGAAGCGCACCCUCAGCGUCUACACUGAAAUCACCGCCGUGUCCACUCUCGAUGUCUCGCCGCACCUUUUGGAGAUUAGGGUCUGCAGAUUGCAAACUCUUAGACGGGAUUUCCGGAGCUACCACCUCGAGAUCUAAUCGCUCCAUCACUCUCCACAGUGGCUCCUGACGUGUGACCAACAUAGCAAGAUUUUUCACUGACUUCCUGCUAAGCGCGUCGGCCACCACGUUUGCUUUUCCGGGGUGGUAUAGGAUUGUAACAUUGAAAUUCUUUAGCAACUCCAACCACCACCGCUGGCGCAUAUUGAGCUCAUUCUGAUUAAACAGAUAUUUUAGACUCUUGUGGUCUGUGUAUAUCUCGCAACGCGCGCCAUACAAGUAGUGCCUCCACAGCUUGAGAACAAACACUACCGCGGCCAGCUCUAAGUCGUGAACAGGGUAGUUCUUCCCAUAGCUCUUCAGCUGACGGGACGCAUACGCGAUCACCUUCCCGCCCUGCAUCAGAACACACCCUAAACCCGAUUGUGACGCAUCGCUAUACACCACGAAGUCUUCAUCUUGCACCGGUAAGACGAGUACCGGAGUCGAAGUCAAUCUAUUCUUCAACUCUUGAAAACUCCGGUCACACUCACCGCUCCACACGAACUUGGUGCCUUUUUGAGUCAGACGGGUAAGUGGACCCAGGAUCUUCGAAAAUCCCUCCACAAAUCGUCUAUAGUAACCCGCUAAACCCACAAAGCUUCGGACUUCCGUGACGUUAGUCGGGCGAGGCCAAUCCUUGAUCGCCUCCACUUUCCUCGGGUCAACAGAUACUCCUCCCUCGAAAAUGACAUGCCCAAGAAAUGCAACCUCUCAGAGCCAAAAAUCACAUUUCUUAAACUUAGCAUACAGCUUCUCCUCCCGUAGGACUUGAAGCACUAUUCUCAGAUGCUCGGUAUGUUCCUCGUCGCUACGAGAAUAGACCAAGAUGUUGUCUAUGAAAACCACGACAAAUCGGUCCAAGUACUCCUUGAAGACACGGUUCAUUAAAUCCAUGAACGCUGCCGGGGAGUUAGUGAGCCCAAACGGCAUGACCGUGAAUUUAUAGUGUCCAUACCGCGUGCGAAACGCGGUCUUUUGCACAUCUUCCGGCUUAAUCUUGAGUUGAUGAUAACCGGAUUGUUGAUCAAUCUUUGAAUAAACCCGAGACCCUUGCAACUGAUCAAACAUAUCGUCAAUCCUCGGUAACGGGUACUUGUUCUUGAUCGUGACCUUGUUCAACUCGCGGUAAUCUACGCAAAGUCGAAACGAUCCGUCCUUCUUUCGCACGAAUAGAACCGGAUCUCCCCACGGCGAUACACUUGGCCGAAUAAAUUUCUUAUCGAGGAGAUCUAUCAACUGAGCCCGUAACUCCUUCAAUUCUGCUGGUGCCAUCCGAUACGGAGCCUUCGAGAUAGGCGCGGUUCCUGGAACCAAAUCUAUCACGAACUCGAUCUUCCGGUCUGGCGGCAUUUCCGGUAACUCCAUGGAAAACACAUCUGGAAACUCUCGGACCACGGAUAGUUCCUCAAGCGCCAGAGUCGUCUUCUCGACUUCUACAACGAUCGCCAAAUAGGCCGUACAACCGCUGUUAAUCAACUUCCUCGCCCUCGUUGCUGACACCAUAGCAGCGAAGCGCGAGCUUCUACAGGCCCAGUAGGUGAAUUCCUCCUGACCCGGCUCUCGAAACGUUAUCACUUUAUUUCUACAGUGAAUGGUCGCAUAGUACUUUGAGAGCCAAUCCAUUCCUAGAAUGACGUUGAAGUCCUUUAACUUCUUGAACAUCAACAUACGGAUGGGCAUUAUCCAAUCGUCCAACCGCACGGGACAAGACGAACACUCCAUACGGACUAGAAAAUCACGUCCGGGGCCCGAUACUCUCCAAGUGCUUUUACUCUCUUGUAGUUUUAUGUCAUGCAUGCGUGCAAAUGACCUACUGAUGAAUGAAUGUGUAGCACCUGUAUCAAACAUGGCCCUGGAGCGAACUCCGUCAAUUAAAACCAUACCUGCGAGUACAUGGCGAUUCUCCGCCUCAGCAGGUUCCUCGGCUUGAGUUUGGGCGGCGAACACCCGUCCGCUCGGAGCCGAUCUCAUCGCCUCAGGUUGGCGUGGUUCCAUCGCACGUCCAGCCGAUGACGCAGUAGGUGGGACUCCUCCAUAGUGCGCCGAAGUCGCCGGAGUCGACGUGACCGAAGGGGCAGGCGAAGCCCUCACUGGACAGUAGCGGCUGAUAUGGCCCGCCUGUCCACACGUGAAGUACUUCCCUUCCCGUUGAUCACACGUCCUUGGCUCGUGGUUCCCACCACAGAUUGUGCGCCGCUGCGGUUCGCGGCCCUUGGAUUGCGUUCGCGGGUACUUCGGCGGCUUCCUUGACUUCGAUUGAGCUCCCGAACUACUCUGGGCCCACUUCUUGCCGCUGUCCUUCUCGGACGCUUCUCGCUCCUCCCGGAUAUGAGCGUUUCCUUGCUCCGCCCACAACGCUCGAUCGAGUACCUCCGCGAAGGUAGUGAGCUUCAGGAUGUGCACUGCCAGGUAGAUAUCAGCACGGAGCCCUUGCUCGAACCAAUCGGCUCGAUCCCUGUCAUCCCGCACUACGUCAGGGACGCAGUCGAUGAUGUGAGAGAACUCCCGCUCAUAUUCCGCUACCGUGCGGCUACCUUGCUUCAACUUUUAAAAUUGCUCCUGGAGCUUCUUCUUCUCACUAUCGGGGAAGUAGUUGACAGAGAACAAUCCCCGAAACUCCUCCCACGUCAACGGCAGAAGGUCGGAAGCUCGGUUCCUCUUGAUUCGCUUUCACCAAACCUUCGCCGUCUGCUCCAAACAAUGAGUGGCGAGGUAGACCUUGUCCCUCUCCAAGGUGUAGAGGUCCUCGAACAAGGUCUCCAUUGAGUCCACCCAUGACUCAACCAUUCAUGGCUCGACCUUCUCUCCCUCAAAGGUCGGUGGAUUAAACCUUCGGAACUUCUCGAGAGCCGCAAGCGCGCGCUCUCUCUCCGCCUCCAAUGCCGUCGCAUCGGGUGUUGUAGAAUCCGACGCCGUCGGAAGAACGCUCGCCGGCGAAAGACGUGCCGCCACCAGAAUUGCCACAAUGCCCUUACCCUCAGCCGCCGUUGGCGCACGAGCUGGAGGCGGGGGUGGAUCACGGCCCUCAGUCGCAGCUACAGUUGCCGCCGCAAAAUGCCGCUCCAUUAGCCCUUGGAGCUGCUCGAAUCGACUCUCCUAGCGCUGUACAAUGCCGGUCAAGGCCGACACCUGCGCCCGUAGUUCCUAUACCUUACUAGAUCCGGUUUCCUUGGGCACCUCAGAAGACGGUGCCGGAACGGAUCUACAUACAUAGCGUCUUGGGGACAUUGUUCCUGCAACACAACAACCGGGUUAGUCACCUAACCCACUUAACUUCGUCGCAUAUUCUAUAUUACGCGACUCAACUCCGCCCUAAGCGGACGUACACCAUUGUAUUAGUCCUAACUCUUAGCGUCGUGUUGUCGGCAGCCAACACAAACUCCUCGAGCUCAGAACUAACAUCGCUCGAUUCUAUCUCUAGCCACACUAGAGAUCUAUACUCGAUCCGACCUAAUCGGAUUCUUCCUCAACCGAUAUAGGUUUACGUUUCUCUCACGUACUUAUCACCUUAGGGUUGCCAACCUACAUCUCUUAGGUCCAUCCUAGACUCUCUCUUUACUUACUUUUAGGCUCUGAUACGAACAACUCUUGUCACGCCCCGCCCCGAAUCCACUACCAAUUUNGGCCAUUGGAUUAAGAGAUGUGUAGUUAGGAUGAUAAUGGUCCCUUAGGAUUGAGUGGAUAGUUAGUUAAAUGGUAUGAUCUAACGGGUGAAAAUAAUUAACUUCUCAAAUCAGUCCUUCAAUUACAGUUCUAAUUAGCCAUGAAUUAAUCUAGUGUCCAGGUCAUGUAUUCAGCAUUUAAGAAAGACCCAGGUAGAACUAAAAUUUGCAUGAUUCGAGAACAAAUGUAAGCGCAAUUAAUCCAAUACAAGAAUUGAAUGCUAAUAAAAUCUUAUAAUUUGAGAGUAUAAUCUACUGACUCUAAGAGACAGUUUGGUUCAAAUUUAUAAUAUUUUAAAAAUAUUGUAUAUUUUAUAUUUGAAAUUGUAAGUUUAUUACUCACUUAUCAAGUCAUUUGGAUUGGAAUGUUGUUAGAAACUAAUAUAUUCUUAUUAAUAGACUACUAAUGAUUCCCAUCAAGCAUGAAAAUAAAAAUAUCUCAUGCAACAUAAUAAUCUAUAAUAAUAUCUCUACUUUACAACAUCUUUUACAACUGGGCAACUUAAAUUAAAUGGUAAUAAUUUAAAUAUUUUCAAUAAAAGAUAUGAAAGAUGACCAGAGUAUUCCAAAGACCAAUUUGCAUAAAAAAUCCACAAUUUUGAGCUUUUGCAAAACUGGGUCACAUUUUUCAAUUUUGCAGAUUCGGGCCGAAAUUUUUGCCAUCGGACGAAAAUACCCUUAUUCCUUUUCUUUCUCUCUCUUCUUUUUUUCUCUCUCUCUUUUUUUUUCCUUCGCUACUUUUUUUUCUUCAGCCACCCGCCGUUGUGCCCUCUGCUGCACCCCCGCCGCCGCACUCACGCUCGCCCUCGCCGCCGCCGCAGCGCUCGCGUACGCCUACCUCUACUACCAACCCCGCAUCCUCUCCUUCCUCCUCCUCUCCGUCCAACCCCACCAUGCUCGGAUUUUGUCACGCCCCGCCCCGAAUCCACUACCAAUUUGGCACGGUUCGGGCGCGCCAGACGGACCGCCGAACGGACAGCACCUCUCCUGUCCGCCAAAGGCCAAGCAACCAGAUCAUGUACAGUUAAGCGCCUAGGGAAUGCUUAAAUAACAUACAUGAUCAAUAUGAUACACACAAGUGCACUAUAACUAAGAGCAAGAACCAUAAGUGAAUGUACAAGUGUAUAAAGAGAGAUAGUCUAACUAUUACAACCAUUCAACAUUUACAUAAGCUGAUUACAUUACAUUUUCAUCUUGCAAAAUACAAGUAGCUCUCCAAUAACUAUCCAAAACGUCAUCUAGUACACGAGGGUACUCUAAUGCAUAAAGGAAAAGCUACUAACUAGGCUCACUUAGGGCGCUAUGCCCUUGCCGCGGUUCUCGCUUGGCUCGCCUCUGUGUCUACCUGUACCCCAAAACCACACGGGGUGAGAACUAUAUAAAUAUAGUUCCCAGUGGGUUCGGCCGCCGACGCCGCUGGUUUUCCCACUAGGUCUAAGCUGGCACAGAUAGAGAGAUAGAUAGAUAUAUAGAAAUGAACUGCAACUACUCUAUCAUGCCAUCAAUGAUAAUAAUGCAUGCAACAACUACUAUCAUGCUAGUAUUAUGUCAUAAGCAUAUAAAAGUGCAUAGUAAUGUAAACUACAACAUACACUAUGUCUACUCAAGAUAAUAAUGCAAGUCUACUAUGCAUUCCAUGUUUAUUACCCAAUCUACUUAGUUAACCCGUAGGUUAAACCCUCAACUCACUCUCAAUCUCAUAGGUGAGGAGAAGCUACACUCGCACACCGAGACCGUCUGCGGGACAACCCUGUGAGAUACUCCGGAGACUCGUGCUUCGGUGGAGAGACCACCGACAAGCAAAACAGACUAGUGAGUAUGAUCCAAUCCUCUCAAGUACCCUGUCUACUAGGGUCUAUGUGCCUCUGCUGCACAAUCAUGAUAUAUAAUCAAUGUUGGGACUUCUACUAUCCCUAGGCUCAUGUCAAGUUUACUACACUAGACUCAAUGCCACUCGUUUAGUCAUUGUAGUAAAUGUCUCAAUUAUUCUACAGGCCACUCGUUCAUGUCAUAGUGCUUCUACCACACUAGUUCGAUGCCACUCUACUAGGCUAUGUCCAAGUUCGGCUCUUUAUGCCGCUAUAGGAUUCUAUGUCACAAGACCCAAUCCUCAUGCUAUCCUAGUCCACGUGUCAAGCUCACCUCGCUACACUACCAAGAAAGCAUGCAAGGAAAUGAAAAUGUACAACUACUAUUCCUAUAGCGCAAUAUGAUCAACAUAAUUAACUUAGACAUAAAAAGAAACCCGGUUGCUUCGGGAUGACACCCCCCACCUCUUGAGGGUAUGGAGGCUCUAGAAAUGCCCUCUAACGGACGUUACGACGAAGUCUUGAUCUUCUUAGGUCGAAAUGAAGCUUGGUCGGCCUUAUUUUGCGGAUAUCUUUUCUUCCGCUCGACGAAUGCAAAAUCCGACUUCACCCCCGCGUUUUGGCACCUACCAAUUAGGUUUACAAGGUCUUAAAUGAGAUCAAUA